UGCAUGUCUAAGUACAUGCCGUAUUAAGGCGAAACCGCGAAUGGCUCAUUAAAUCAGUUAUGGUUCCUUGGAUCGUACCUUACUACUUGGAUAACUGUGGUAAUUCUAGAGCUAAUACAUGCAGCAGAGCUCCGACCUUCGGGAACGAGCGCUUUUAUUAGAACAAAACCGACCGGACUCCGUCCGUACUUUGUGGUGACUCUGAAUAACUUUGGGCUGAUCGCACGGGCCCGUCCCGGCGACGUAUCUUUCAAGUGUCUGCCUUAUCAACUUUCGAUGGUAGGUUACGCGCCUACCAUGGUCGUAACGGGUAACGGGGAAUCAGGGUUCGAUUCCGGAGAGGGAGCCUGAGAAACGGCUACCACAUCCAAGGAAGGCAGCAGGCGCGCAAAUUACCCACUCCCAGAACGGGGAGGUAGUGACGAAAAAUAACAAUACGGGACUCUUUUGAGACCCCGUAAUUGGAAUGAGUACACUCUAAAUCCUUUAACGAGGAUCCAUUGGAGGGCAAGUCUGGUGCCAGCCGCCGCGGUAACUCCAGCUCCAAUAGCGUAUAUUAAAGUUGUUGCGGUUAAAAAGCUCGUAGUUGGAUCUCAGUUCCAGACGGGUGGUCCGCCUACCGGUGGUUACUGCCUGUUCUGAACAGCCAGCCGGUUUCUCUUGAUGAUCUUCACCGGUUGUCUUGGGUGACCGGCAAGUUUACUUUGAAAAAAUUAGAGUGCUCAAAGCAGGCGCGACGCCUGAAUAAUGGUGCAUGGAAUAAUGGAAUAGGACCUCGGUUCUAUUUUGUUGGUUUUCGGAACACGAGGUAAUGAUUAAGAGGGACAGACGGGGGCAUUCGUAUUGCGACGCUAGAGGUGAAAUUCUUGGACCGUCGCAGGACGAACUACUGCGAAAGCAUUUGCCAAGAAUGUUUCCAUUAAUCAAGAACGAAAGUUAGAGGUUCGAAGGCGAUCAGAUACCGCCCUAGUUCUAACCAUAAACGAUGCCAGCUAGCGAUCCGGCUGUGUUCCUCAAAUGACACGCCGGGCAGCUUCCGGGAAACCAAAGCUUUUGGGUUCCGGGGGAAGUAUGGUUGCAAAGCUGAAACUUAAAGGAAUUGACGGAAGGGCACCACCAGAAAUGGAGCCUGCGGCUUAAUUUGACUCAACACGGGAAAACUCACCCGGCCCGGACACAGGAAGGAUUGACAGAUUAAGAGCUCUUUCUUGAUUCUGUGGGUGGUGGUGCAUGGCCGUUCUUAGUUGGUGGAGCGAUUUGUCUGGUUAAUUCCGAUAACGAACGAGACUCUAGCCUACUAAAUAGACGUUCCCAUCAAUCUCGUGGGG
rnacentral:rRNA from 1 species